rnacentral:lncRNA from 1 species
UUAAUUCCUAGACAAACUCUAAAUCUUAAAUCAAACCUUAAUUAAUUUUUAAAUUUCAAAUCAAAUUUUAGAAAAAUUCUAAUCAAAUUCUAAAUCAUAAACUAAAUCCUAAUCAAAUUCUAAAAUUUAAAUCUUAAAUCAAAUCCUAAUCAAUCUUAAAUUCUAAUCCAAAUCUUAGACAAAUCCUAACUAAAUCCUAAAUCCUAAAUCAAACCUUAAUCAAAUCCUAACCAAACUCUAAAUCCUAAACCAAAUCCUAAGAUAGUUUAGAACCUCAAUAUUUUUUGAUUAAAUCAUUGAUCUCAUUUAAAAUUUUAUACACGUCUCAAUCUCUUAGUUACAAACAAGUAUAAUAAAUUUGAAGACAAUCACACUUACCAAAUCAAAGAAAAUUUCUAAAAUUUGCUUAGAUAUUGGCUGGUAUAAUUGUCGUUUUACUUACUCCAGACUAAUCUAAUGAAAAUAAAUCUAUAUAGGAGAAUUCAAACAUAGGAAAAGACUAUCCACAUGAGUUUACACAUUAGGGUCACACAAUUAAUUGUCUCUUCAUCAACUAAAAAUACUCAAGAAUGCUACAUUAUCCUCCACAUUCUAUCAAAUAUUACAAUCAAUAAUUCCAUCUUCACAUUUAUUGUCUCUUUUCUUCUCUUCCUUUAAUUUAUAACAACAAUAUAUAAUACUAUACUAUCUUAAAAGACAACAUACAAUCACUCCAUAAUCCAAUCACUAGAAUCUUUUACAUUUAACUGUCAUUCUCUCUACACUUCUUCAUAUAAAUCCAAACUCCAAAGACUCCUUCUUAAACCUUAGUAUUAUAAUUCUUUCAUUCAUGGCCAUUUUUCACCAAUACUUCUAAUUUUCUACUUAUAAUUCUCCACUAUAUUCAUCUACAAUAAAUUCUAUAUUUUAUUUACAACAUUAAAUUUCUUUUUUCAUUUCAAAAUUUUACAACACAAUAUUUAAAAACUAUCUAUUACUCUUUAACUACAAAGAAACAAAGAGGUAGUACCAAGCUUAUUCCAACUCAUAACUAUUAUAGUCUCGCCCUUUUUACUUUUUUUUCAACCUACUUAUGCUUACCUCAAAAUGCUAAUUAUUAUAUAAUACAAUGAUAACUACUUUUUUGACUGAAUCAUCCAUCCUGCCUUCAAACUAUCUAUUCAUCACUUUACUAGUUUCUCUUAAUCCUACAUACUAUGUAUUACAAAAUAAAAAAAUCCUACCCAUUCUACAUAACCCCACU